UACGGGGGGGGCAAGCGUUGUUCGGAAUUACUGGGCGUAAAGGGCUCGUAGGCGGCCAACUAAGUCGGAUGUGAAAUCCCCAGGCUCAACUUGGGAACUGCAUCCGAUACUGGAUGGCUUGAAUUCGGGAGAGGGAUGCAGAAUUCCAGGUGUAGCGGUGAAAUGCGUAGAUAUCUGGAGGAAUACCGGUGGCGAAGGCGGCAUUCUGGACCGACAUUGACGCUGAGGAGCGAAAGCUAGGGGAGCAAACAGG
rnacentral:rRNA from 1 species